rnacentral:lncRNA from 1 species
CAGACAUAUCUAAGCUGCCUCAACAUUUAACACCCCAGUUGCAAUUUCAAAUUUUGUGUCGUUAUACAUAGCUACGUGUUUUGUGGGCUAUUGAGAGUAAUAUGAAUCGUCUGAUUUUACGUAAACUAACAUGCACGACCGUGAUCAUUACACACUGUCUAUGUACAGUUGCUUCCACAUGAACUACCACGGCCUACAUGUGUGUGUGGGGGGGGGGGGGUACAUUUUCAAGACGUGGCAGGGCAGCACUGUACAGUAGUCAUGAGCGUGAAACCGUAGAUUACCCUGUUUGCCGGUUCCUGUUGCUUCAAUCCUAUUCACUCGGUCGUGGUUAAACAACAAUGCUGCAUAACACGCAUUACAAGGUUCGUUUAUCUGUUUACCUCAUUUAUUGUUUGUAUCUUAUCAUAAACAGGGAAAUCUCGCUGUUUCACGCCCAUUUGUUCAGCCCUGAUUACAACUCUGCGAUGCCACUUUUAAUACUCUAACCCUCAUACAUUCCCAGGCUGUGGUACGUUCAUGUGGAGGUAAGUGUAAUUUCAACCCAUGUGAACUUAUAGGAUCAAUCUAUUUACCUCGACCAGUAUCAUUAUCAACAACACCGUCAAAUGAUUGAUAGUGUACACCACGCCAAACAAUGAUUGCCUUCCUUCUCUGUUCAAUCUAAUCUUUGAAUGAUAGAACAAUUUUUGUAUAAAUUUCUAAUAUUUUUAUGUAUGAUAUUGGCUUUUAACUUGCUGAACAUAUUCUGAGAAGAAAUCAAUUGUAGAUCACAUUCGAGCAGUGACUUUUCGAGAAGUUCUUGACGCUGAUUCUGCGUUUGUUUCAUGCAACACACACUCCAAAAAAUAUCGUAGCAGAGGGGUCCAAUGAAUUUCAAAAUGAACACUGCAAGAGUAUGCUUCGCGAGGUUCUGGCCAAGGAGCUUCAGCUCCGAUGCGUGAAGACAUUAAGCCAUUAAACAAUUUUAGCGUUUCGUCCCUGGCAAAAGGUCUAGCAGGAGAAAGAGAAAACUUGAAAAAUCGCACUCAACAUCGAUGACAGGUAGUGGUUCACAGAUUGUCUCAGUGAAUUGGACAAGUGAAGUCCCAGACGAAGAGCAUUAUCUGAAGUUACUCAAAACUCCCUUUUCUGGAGGAAUAUGUAAUUAUUUUCUUUUACAAUCCUAAUUUCUUGGGUGAGAAAGAAAACUUAUGAAAUUGAAUUCUAAUAAUAAUGGAUUUGUUUUUCGUAUCUGCGUUCUUCUAACCACGUGAAAUAUUAGGUAGUUUUGUCUAUUUUCUAUGCUUCAUGAACUUCCAUCCGAGUACACCCCCAAAGUUGUUAAUAUGACCAUAUAAACAUAAGAGCUAGCUUGUAUUUCUGCACCUUCCUGACCUGACUAAUGUAAGUUUUUCCGCGUAGGACUAUUUCCUUUUUCUUUACCGCAGCCUGUGACCGGUUUUUGGUCACCCUUAUAAUAAAUUCUGAUGUCAAGCAAUCCAUCAUUCAGUUGUUUUUCGGGUGUUUUAGCUAAUGGUGUAAAUUAUGAUCUGCUUUUUAGAAAGCACUUAUAUUUUGAGCAGCUUUUUCUUAAACUCAGGUACAAUUUAAGAGAAAAUGUUUUACUUUAACCUGACUACAAAUUUACCAAAAUCUUUUCAGUAGUUUUCUAAGACAUGGGAAAUUUCCAUGGAUCGAACAAUCACUCACAAGGUGUAGAAUUAAGAGAGUUCAGAACAAGCAAUCAUGCAAUCUUAGCUCUAAGGUAAUUAGCAUUUAUGAGUAAAAGAUAAGAGCAUGAUUUCUUUGUGGUUUGUUCUUUGGUUAUUUUUUUCGCAAAUAAGAAAGAAAUGUGUGAACGAGAGUAAAUUUGUGAUAAUGUGGAUAACAAUGUUUUAUACCUCUGAUUUUUGAUGCGGGGUGAAACAAGGCAAGUGAGUUUCAUACUGUUUGGCAUCUUUUUAUUUCAUUAACUAAAUCAUUUUAAACUUGUGUUAGCGUAAAGGACAUCUGUUGAGGCAGAGAUGCACCAAUAAAAUGUCCACACAAAUCAAGAACGGUAUCAAGGAAGGAGUAUGGGACUAUUAGUAGUAAAGUUCUUAACAUGAAGGGCUGUAUUAGCCCUUGUCUAAUAUUUAUAUAAAUGUGAGCUACACUACAUUAAGUUUAUAUAACUACAUCACUCAUGGUAACUUUCCUAUGAGAUGUGAGUAGUCAUCAACAGUGUAUUCCCACUGCCCUCACACCUUGACUGCAGAAUAAUCUAUUAAGUAGCUGGCUAUCGCCAGUUCAGCUCCCGUCUCUGAGCCACUGAGAUGUGUGCUUUAAGAAGCUAGUUAUACCCAAGCUUCGUUCCUGAUUAACGCUCACAGCUCAUAACGUUAAUUAAGGUGAUAUCCCCGUUAUUGUGCAAUGGUUUAUUUUUUUUAAUAAAUGGAGAAAAGACCAUUUGGGUUUGAAAGCUUAACACAUAAACAUUCAUGAAUGUUGCUUCCAGUUCACCUCUAAUUAAUGAUUUCAAUAGGUAACCGGAAACCACAGCAUAAGGUGGCAUCGGUCUUACGAAUCUCUGAACAAAAACCAGAGUUUUAUGCAAAAACUAACAAUUUUUGGUUUAAGUUUGACAUUCUCCAUUUUUGCACAUAAUAUACCAACUUUCUGAGAGGCGUUACAUUUUAGUUAAACACUUGUGAUGUCCUAGUUCAACGUACAAGUUUCUAUCGUUGUUUUUGUAAGUGAUUUAACACAUUUGAUCACUUCAAACAUGGCAACACUGUACAUACAAUCAUUACCACAACCUGAACGUCUCUGCAACACUUCAUUCAAGAUGCUCCCACGGCUGUAUUCAGCUACUAAGCAUAACAACAUCAACAAGCCUUCUCUCCCUGCGAGCAGAAGCACCCCAGCACCAAUAAGCACCCCAGCAUCAACCAGCACCCCAGCCUCAGGCCCCCCAAGGAGAGCCUACCCUAGUCUUCAGCCCACGUGUUGUUUUGAUUGGUCAACGUCUGGCUCUCUCGACUUAUGGUCAACACUCGGUUGCUGCUUCCAGUGACCCACUGUGUGACCCAUCGUGUGACCCACCAUGUGACCCGUCGUUUGACCCACUGUGUGACCCUUCCGUGUAACCAAGUGCACCCAGGUUACAACGGACAGCUGUCUUCGACAUCUCUUGGCUCAUCAUAGUACCCAGCCCCUGGCAACUACUACGUCAUUGACGCCAUACAAAAAACGUCAUGCCAAUGUCAUAGCAGGAUGCCAUCUUGGAUUUCUCUUCUAUACAUAGGGAGUGCCCGUGAUAUACUUCUCACCAGCUGACACGCUAUCCUCCGCAGAACUCUUCGGACUUUUAAUGACAAGAACUUCAACCAAAGUCUCCAUACUUCAAUCAAGUCUUCGUACUAGGUAUUCACAGUCAUGCAGUAGAUUUAUACACACAUUAAACAUAUUCUACAGCAUACCAUCACCCGUCAGACGGCGUGAUGGGACAGUUUUUAAUUUAUAAAUGCGUAAGUGCCUUACUUUAUAUAUUACUGACGUAUUAUAAGUUGAGUAUUUUCCUUUACUCAUUUACUCAUAAUUUAAUUCAUUUACUGUAAAUGGAUGGGCAAGAUUAUUAUUUAGUAUAAUCUUGUAUGAUUGAAUUAUCAUUUAUGGAUCUUUUAUUCAUUUAUCUGGUUCAGACAUUACGCAUUCAGCGGAAAAAUUGCAAUAGUACCUCUGAACAAACAGAAAACACAAUACUAACUGGCGCAGUUCUCCCUAUCGGAGCUAGCAUUGUUACUGGUAUUAGGGAAGAUAUGCAUGGAACAUAAAUUUAUGUACUGUACAGCAAAGCACUUCCUUUGAGGAUAGUGAACAAUUACUCGAUCAAUAAUUUGGAGAUUUACACCGUACCCAACUUAGGUCAGGUCGUACAUACGAUACCACACCUCAGUACGGAUCUGUUCAUUCUCCCUACCCACUAAACCCCAGUGUGUCAGGAUAGUAUACUUUUCCUCCUACAUCCUAUAUUACUCCAGUGGUUAAAGCAUGUUUACUCACACUUUGGGUUCAAGCUUCAGGGCAUUUUUACUGGUCAGUGUUCGAAUCAUAUGAGUGACAUAGAAACUUAUUAAGAUGUGUCACUUUAAUAAGGAGCUAGUUGGUGGUAACUGCGAUAAGGGUGCUCUUUUGCUAUAAUGAUACACUGAAGACCUGAGCUCAUUCAUUGAUUUGCAUUUAGAAUCCUUCCUAAUCAUUUCGACCAGUUUUACCUGGCGAUAUAAUUCUUCUCGUUACAGGCUUAACCAAAUUCAGAUAGAUACUGAUCAGGCUUAGCUGUAAGUGCUUCAUGUUUUGUUCCACAUUUGCUUCUGUAAUCACAUCCUGUUAAAGCUUGGAUAGCAGGAAUUAAUUCACACAUUUCGUUGCCCAGCUUUGCUAUUAAUAUAUGUACAGGAAUGUGGCGCAUAGAUUUUACCUGUUCCAACUCUGCUCCAUAGUUCACACAAGCCGGAAGUUGCAAAUUGGGGAAGUGGUGCAGCAUAAUGACAAACACAUCAACAUCAAGGGAUAAGAUGAGCAAUUUUGAUGCCCUAGCGUUAACUACAUGUAUUGCAUGAAUUAGAAUUAAAAUAUCUGCUUUCUUGAUGAUCAUCCAGUUCAGGAACAGCGUGAGCUACUCUAUUGGAAAAAGGACACUUGGGAGUACAUCUUCAACUGGGAUAAAACCGACCACAAUCUCCUUAGCAAACUGCCUUUGCUGUACAAUAUGGAAGACAACCGAAUCAUUCCCCAGUACUUUCACAGUAACCAGGAAACAGAGGAGUAAUUGACUGUGAACCAGCAGAGGUUCAGACAGUGGCUGCCAUAGCAGAAACAACUGACAGCUGGACACCUACGACUUCUCAUUUAGCCUCAGUGUUCUUAAUAUAUACACUAUCUCUAGACUCAUUGGAAAGGCUCGUGCACAUGCUUAACCAUCGCAUAAUGUACAGUAUGCAGUUGACCUUAAAACAUGACUGAAUCAACAUCACCAGAUAAUAUAUGCCUUGGCAGUUAUCAUUAAAAGUUAUUGAGGAAA